rnacentral:rRNA from 1 species
GUGGGGAAUUUUGGACAAUGGGCGAAAGCCUGAUCCAGCCAUGCCGCGUGCAGGAUGAAGGCCUUCGGGUUGUAAACUGCUUUUGUACGGAACGAAAAGACUCCUUCUAAUAAAGGGGGUCCAUGACGGUACCGUAAGAAUAAGCACCGGCUAACUACGUGCCAGCAGCCGCGGUAAUACGUAGGGUGCAAGCGUUAAUCGGAAUUACUGGGCGUAAAGCGUGCGCAGGCGGUUAUAUAAGACAGAUGUGAAAGCCCCGGGCUCAACCUGGGAACUGCAUUUGUGACUGUAUAGCUAGAGUACGGUAGAGGGGGAUGGAAUUCCGCGUGUAGCAGUGAAAUGCGUAGAUAUGCGGAGGAACACCGAUGGCGAAGGCAAUCCCCUGGGCCUGCACUGACGCUCAUGCACGAAAGCGUGGGGAGCAAAAAGGAUUAGAUACCCUGGUAGUCC